UCCAGACUCCUACGGGAGGCAGCAGUGGGGAAUAUUGCACAAUGGGCGAAAGCCUGAUGCAGCAACGCCGCGUGAAGGAAGAAGGGUUUCGGCUCGUAAACUUCUAUCAACAGGGACGAAAGAAAUGACGGUACCUGAAUAAGAAGCCCCGGCUAACUACGUGCCAGCAGCCGCGGUAAAACGUAGGGGGCAAGCGAUAUCCGGAUUUACUGGGUGUAAAGGGAGCGUAGACGGCAAUGCAAGCCAGAUGUGAAAGCCCGGGGCUCAACCCCGGGACUGCAUUUGGAACUGUGUAGCUGGAGUGUCGGAGAGGCAGGCGGAAUUCCUAGUGUAGCGGUGAAAUGCGUAGAUAUUAGGAGGAACACCAGUGGCGAAGGCGGCCUGCUGGACGAUGACUGACGUUGAGGCUCGAAAGCGUGGGGAGCAAACAGGAUUAGAUACCCGUGUAC
rnacentral:rRNA from 1 species